GUUAACAUUUGGGGUAUUUGGUAUUUAAUUUAAGGUUUCCCUUUCUUUUUAUAAUCCCAAUUCUAAUCACUGUCAAAUUAAGACAAAAUGUAAAUUUGAUAAGAAUUGGAAAUAACAAAGAAGAGCGGAUCUAUUAUUCCAUCGAUUUCACCAUGCAUAAAGAUCUUAAAGAUAUACUACAGACUUUUGACAUUUAGGUGAAUUUCAAAUGCAAAACUUGUUACUUCUAAUUAAGAGUUGAAUGAUGAUAAGUAAUGCAUUUAUUUUUUAUUCUUGUAAACAAAACCAGAUUGUUGGUUUUAAAACUAAACCAAAUAACCCGAUUCAAUUACCAUAGUUUAGAAAAUCCUGAUUUCCCAAUUACCCUAAUCUCCCCACUUUCAUACUCAACAGGCACCUUUACAAAUGGCGAUUCAGCACGAGAUCGCUAGGCAGAAUCAGACCAAGAUCCUUGAUACAGCGCCAUUCAUUGUGCUUCUACUGAUCGCAGCACACGUCCUUGCAUUGGUUUAUGGGAUCUACAAAUUGGCUACAUCGAAACUGCCUCAAAGAAGAGUCGAGCCCUUGAAGAAAAGAAGUUAGUAAUGUAACAUCGGUAUUUGAUUUUUGGUAAACAAUUGUUCAAUUUUUCUUUAAUCGGUCGAUGGCAAUGAGUCCUUAGAAAAAUGGAUGCCUGAUGUUUAGUGGAUUUCUUGUAAUUCAGUUUUGGCAUAAUUACCUCCUUCUAAUA